UGCUGCCAUACGUCACUCAGUAACUUCAACAACGCAAUCACCUCACUCCCACUAUCAGUCGUCAUCGUAAUGACAUACGAUGAUACACGAAUGUCGUGUUUAACACAGAUGCCUGCCAUCACGGUCCAAACCUGCGAAGCCCAAGGGCGAAUACAAUGCGUCUACCAACGCCACACAUGUGGUAAACCACACAUAAGUACUAAUUUGAUCCCACGUAUUUCGACGUGUUCACCUCCUUGGUUAGAAGCGGAGCACUACCUAAAACUCCUUGAAAACGCAACUCCACGUACGACCGAAAACAACCACAAAAUCUACGGGAAACAACGAUGGACAAACGUCGCAGCGUUAACAUUGGCAUGUCAUGCGCAGCACCAAAUCACUCGGUCGCGCCAGUACAGCAACACCUCGUAAUGGAUAACUAGCGUGUAUUCAUGCCUUCGCUAAGUCUUGUCCGUCUCCUAUGAAAUACUUCCCGGGAGAUGGUGGCCAGCUUUGCAAUAGCCGUCUCGUAUUCAAGGGCCCUACUGAGAUCCCACACUGCCUCGCUAAUCCCCAUCGCGCCUAUAUAUCUAAUGUCUGCAUAGUACGGGCAUUCCCUCAGUGCAUGCUUCCAGCCCUCAGAUUUUCCACAGUCGCACAGAUCAGUCGCGGACAAGUUCCUCUGAUGCAAAAAUACAUUAAAGGGACCAUGUCCCGUCAGUAUGAAGCCCAGACUUAGGACGAAACCAAAGAUCGGCCGGUCUCGUCACGAAUAAAUUCGUAAGUCAUCCGACCAUUGUCACUGUUCGUCCAUAUAGUUUUCCUAUCAUCAUAACGCUCCAAAAGGAGUUCCUUGAGCCGCCUAACAUCUCCAACUGCAAGCUCAGAAGCAGUGAGCCAAUCCUCACACACUAAUGGAAUUCCCUUUUUCACACUAUGCAGAACGCCCAUGUAACUCAUGAGUAAGUCAAGCGGGGGCGCGCAAUAACUGUAGUGCAUCUGUCGAAACAGUCCUACACACAGGCAAGCAAGCUAGCAUUGCCACUCUCUGACAAGAGAGGAUCUUCUUUCGCCCUAAGACUGUCCCAGCAACUCCGUGCCAUACAGGCGCUCCAUAAGUUGCGCAAGCAUCAAAUCUUCUUUAAUCAGGAUGAGCAGGUCAAUCGCAUUUGCACUGAUUUUGAAGGAUUCAGCGAGACGUCCCAGCAGGGGAUCCAUCGUAAGGUUCCAUAUAUAUGGAGCACAGAUGGACCCCUGAGGACAACUACGCUGAAUAUCCCCUUCUACCACUGAAGUAACUACGCCAGAGAAAAAGUUCCCGACAAACUAUUUCGCCUAAUCUCGUGAGUACACUACGUUAUGAAAGGUAAUCAAACGCGCCUUUGAAAUCGACAAAUAUGCCAAGGACAUAUUUGGCACUCGACUCUCUCACACAGUUCUGCACAUGGAUUCAGGCACCUACAGUGCUCUCUUCCUCCCAAAAGCCGAACUAGAACCCUCCUCGUAGCCCUCCCUAAAUCUUUUGACCAAUAUCCUCUCCAAUACUUUCGCAAGCACGGGAGAAGACUGAUGCCCCGAUAUGAUAGUAUAAAUUGUGUAAUGACCAAGAUUAUAUUGUGUUUCCUUUCACGCAUGUGUAAUGCGAAAAAAAGUGCGAAUGAGUCAAAUAUAUGUCCAGUUUCUAUCACAUACAGACCCAAAGUGGUGUAACAAAAAAUAUCAAGACAAUUAGAAGUGUGUUUUUAAUCUCUACAUAAAACAUAUAUUUUUUGUUAUUCUAAAAUUGAACAAAUUUAUUGUGAACAAGUUUGCGCUGAAAUAGCGUAAUGCAGAAAAAUGCCGUAUGUGAACAUAUAGAACGGAUAAAUGCUAAACGCACCAAAUUGGAGGACAUUGUAGAAUGUAAACAUGUAGUAAUAUGUUUACAGCAAGGUUUAUAAAAAUGGGUUCGUCUCAGUAGAGGGACCCUGAGAUGGGUAGAAAUCAUCAUAGAUUUAAAACCACGCAUAAAAAAUUCUUAUAGACAUAUACUAACCUAACGAUUAUCAUAAUUUUGGAACUGUACUUUACUGCACAUCUAUUGUGACCUGUAAAAAAUGGAAAUAUGUACAUGGUUUAAUAAAAGGGUUCGGCUCAGUAGAGGGACCCUGAGAUGGGUAUAUAUCAUCAAAAUAAUUUAAUUUUGCAUAAUUUAAAAUAAGUAUGUACUAACUUCUUGGCUUCUUGUGCAAUCCCAGAAUUGGCGGCUCAUUUUCCAAGAAAUACCUGAAACAUAAAAAAAAUUACCGAUAUAUUUAUAUAUUAAUAGAGGGCUUACAUCACAAUUUAAACGCUUGAUAUCAGAAUCCUUUUGGUUUAAAUUGAGUGUGUGCUCAUCAAUGAGUUUAUUCUGAGUAGAAUUAUCAUCAUUUAAAAAAAAAAAAGUAAAAACGAUUGAAAUUUUGCAGGGCCAUAAGUUUCAACUUAACCCUAGGAUGGGUCAACAUUUUUUCUACGUUGUUGAGCGGACGUGGUCUAGCCAAACAACCUUAAAAGAGCUAUAAAAUGUUAAUAACUUUUUUUAAAUUUUAUUUUUGAUUACAAAAAUUUUUUAAUAUUAACUAAUUUUUAAAUUUUAAUUGUUCAAGACGAUAAAGACGAAAGCAAACGAAAUUAUGGAGAUAUUCUAUUUAUUAUUUAUUUAUUUAUUUCAAUAUAAAACAAAAAGCCAUACGGCCAAAUAACUGUAUUACAAGGGAAGCUACCAGUGCAAAAGUAUCUAUACGAUAUGAAAAUAGUAAAAAAUAUAAUCUAAAUAAAAAAUUUAUGAUUA